rnacentral:rRNA from 1 species
AGCGAACGCUGGCGGCAGGCCUAACACAUGCAAGUCGAACGAACCCUUCGGGGUUAGUGGCGGACGGGUGAGUAACACGUGGGAACGUGCCUUUAGGUUCGGAAUAACUCAGGGAAACUUGUGCUAAUACCGAAUGUGCCCUUCGGGGGAAAGAUUUAUCGCCUUUAGAGCGGCCCGCGUCUGAUUGGCUAGUUGGUGAGGUAAUGGCUCACCAAGGCGACGAUCAGUAGCUGGUCUGAGAGGAUGACCAGCCACAUUGGGACUGAGACACGGCCCAAACUCCUGCGGGAGGCAGCAGUGGGGAAUCUUGCGCAAUGGGCGAAAGCCUGACGCAGCCAUGCCGCGUGGAUGAUGAAGGUCUUAGGAUUGUAAAAUCCUUUCACCGGUGAAGAUAAUGACUGUAGCCGGAGAAGAAGCCCCGGCUAACUUCGUGCCAGCCGCCGCAGUAAGAC